GAUGAACGCUGGCGGCGUGCUUAACACAUGCAAGUCGAACGGAAAGGCUCCUGCUUGCAGGGGUACUCGAGUGGCGAACGGGUGAGUAACACGUGGGUGAUCUGCCCUGCACUUCGGGAUAAGCCUGGGAAACUGGGUCUAAUACCGGAUAGGACGAUGGUUUGGAUGCCAUUGUGGAAAGUUUUUCGGUGUGGGAUGAGCUCGCGGCCUAUCAGCUUGUUGGUGGGGUAAUGGCCUACCAAGGCGUCGACGGGUAGCCGGCCUGAGAGGGUGUACGGCCACAUUGGGACUGAGAUACGGCCCAGACUCCUACUGGAGGCAGCAGUGGGGAAUAUUGCACAAUGGGCGCAAGCCUGAUGCAGCGACGCCGCGUGGGGGAUGACGGCCUUCGGGUUGUAAACUCCUUUCGCGAGGGACGAAGCGUUUUGUGACGGUACCUGGAGAAGAAGCACCGGCUAACUACGUG
rnacentral:rRNA from 1 species